rnacentral:rRNA from 1 species
UUUGAUCCUGGCUCAGGAUGAACGCUGGCGGCGUGCCUAAUACAUGCAAGUCGAACGCUUUGUGGUUCAACUGAUUUGAAGAGCUUGCUCAGAUAUGACGAUGGACAUUGCAAAGAGUGGCGAACGGGUGAGUAACACGUGGGAAACCUACCUCUUAGCAGGGGAUAACAUUUGGAAACAGAUGCUAAUACCGUAUAACAAUGACAACCGCAUGGUUGUUAUUUAAAAGAUGGUUCUGCUAUCACUAAGAGAUGGUCCCGCGGUGCAUUAGCUAGUUGGUAAGGUAAUGGCUUACCAAGGCGAUGAUGCAUAGCCGAGUUGAGAGACUGAUCGGCCACAAUGGGACUGAGACACGGCCCAUACUCCUACGGGAGGCAGCAGUAGGGAAUCUUCCACAAUGGGCGAAAGCCUGAUGGAGCAACGCCGCGUGUGUGAUGAAGGGUUUCGGCUCGUAAAACACUGUUGUAAGAGAAGAAUGACAUUGAGAGUAACUGUUCAAUGUGUGACGGUAUCUUACCAGAAAGGAACGGCUAAAUACGUGCCAGCAGCCGCGGUAAUACGUAUGUUCCAAGCGUUAUCCGGAUUUAUUGGGCGUAAAGCGAGCGCAGACGGUUAUUUAAGUCUGAAGUGAAAGCCCUCAGCUCAACUGAGGAAUUGCUUUGGAAACUGGAUGACUUGAGUGCAGUAGAGGAAAGUGGAACUCCAUGUGUAGCGGUGAAAUGCGUAGAUAUAUGGAAGAACACCAGUGGCGAAGGCGGCUUUCUGGACUGUAACUGACGUUGAGGCUCGAAAGUGUGGGUAGCAAACAGGAUUAGAUACCCUGGUAGUCCACACCGUAAACGAUGAGUGCUAGGUGUUUGAGGGUUUCCGCCCUUAAGUGCCGCAGCUAACGCAUUAAGCACUCCGCCUGGGGAGUACGACCGCAAGGUUGAAACUCAAAGGAAUUGACGGGGACCCGCACAAGCGGUGGAGCAUGUGGUUUAAUUCGAAGCAACGCGAAGAACCUUACCAGGUCUUGACAUCCCUUGACAACUCCAGAGAUGGAGYGUUCCCUUCGGGGACAAGGUGACAGGUGGUGCAUGGUUGUCGUCAGCUCGUGUCGUGAGAUGUUGGGUUAAGUCCCGCAACGAGCGCAACCCUUAUUACUAGUUGCCAGCAUUCAGUUGGGCACUCUAGUGAGACUGCCGGUGACAAACCGGAGGAAGGUGGGGAUGACGUCAAAUCAUCAUGCCCCUUAUGACCUGGGCUACACACGUGCUACAAUGGCGUAUACAACGAGUUGCCAACCCGCGAGGGUGAGCUAAUCUCUUAAAGUACGUCUCAGUUCGGAUUGUAGGCUGCAACUCGCCUACAUGAAGUCGGAAUCGCUAGUAAUCGCGGAUCAGCACGCCGCGGUGAAUACGUUCCCGGGUCUUGUACACACCGCCCGUCACACCAUGAGAGUUUGUAACACCCAAAGCCGGUGGGGUAACCUUCGGGAGCCAGCCGUCUAAGGUGGGACAGAUGAUUAGGGUGAAGUCGUAACAAGGUAAC